UACAGAGGUCCCAAGCGUUGUUCAGAUUCACUGGGCGUAAAGGGUGCGUAGGUGGCCAGGUAAGUUUGGUGUGAAAGCUCGGAGCUUAACUCCGAAAAGUCAUUGAAUACUAUCUGGCUGGAGGGUCGGAGGGGAGACUGGAAUUCUCGGUGUAGCAGUGAAAUGCGUAGAUAUCGAGAGGAACACCAGUGGUGAAGGCGAGUCUCUGGACGACUACUGACACUGAGGCACGAAAGCUAGGGGAGCAAACAGG
rnacentral:rRNA from 1 species